AAUCAGCACGCCACUGGAUUGUAUCUGUACUUAAGUACGAGUGAAGUAUUAAACCGUGAGUAUUUUAGCUACCUGUGGUAGAACGGCAAGGUUCGUGCGGUCUGGGUUUCCGAUCAUUAAAAACAAACAAGGCCAAGAGGUUGUCGUUGGGCGGGCGGCCUUUGGGAGUGACAGGUAUGAUUCAUGCUCAACGGCAGGAGGUGCGAGGACCGGAGAGAUUAGUGGCCCGCGCCCCCCCCCCCCCCCCCCCCCCAAGGCAACUACCGGGUUCGCUUGAGGAUUAGAGCAGCGUGAACCCAAGCCCGGGCUGUAAUUUGCAAUGCUGCGCACAUGCAAGCGUGCGGCGAGGAUGAUUGGGCAGAGGGGGCGAGGACUAGUGAUUGACGGAUGUGACAGUCCAACUUCACUCUGUGCAGGAGGACAAAGUCUUUUUUUCACUUUUGAGCCAAAUGCCAAUGAGGGGGGGGGGGGACCCCAAAACAACCUUGACUUUUGCCGUUUACUUUUAACACGCAACCAAGACGACAAUCCGGGUCAUGAAUUGAAUAUUUGCAGCUAAUAAUUCUGGGCCAUAUGAACCAACAGUGGUUAAGCUAGCUAGCAACUUUUAACGCUUUAAUUCCACAAGACGUACUUGUAUGUCUUUUUAAAAUUAGGCCCCGCCUACCAAGGUCUAAGUCUUUUUUUUUUUGCGUCAUAGAAAGGAGGAGGGUCUGAUGCAAUCUGUGAAUGAGAAUAAGCCGUUUGCAUUGUAAAUCGUCGAGUCCAAACUAUAUUUUGGUAGGCUGCAUGUUUAUACAGCAUUAGAACCAAAUAUUUUGUGGGCCUUGCAAGAUCAGUCAAAAUCCAGUAAAACGCUGGGAUUGAGGGGGUUGCUCCAGUGAAAAUAGCUGCGAUUGAAUGAGUUAA